AUAUUUAAUUAUUUUACAUGGGUGCUUUUGGACUUGUACUUAUUUUCGAAAAUAAGAAACUUCAGUAGUGUCGAAUUUAACUCACGGAAUUCAUUGACAUCAAAACAUAACAUUUUAUUUAUGACAGCCCGAUUAUAUAAUCAAAAAGUUUAAUGUAUUCAUAUAAAUAUGUAGUGCGAUAAAAAUGUCUGAGAUCCAGAUCCAUAACAUAAAGAUGAGUUUUUGAGCACAGUUUAAAAUUUUACUUUAAUGUUUUCUAAAGGAGGCUGGACUUAAGUGACAACUUUAGCUAUAUGAUUAUUUUAGAAAACUCUCCCCACACAUGAAAGCAUUCCAAGAUUCCAACAGUUUUCUAAAUAUGCCAUAUUUAAGAGUUAAAACACAAUAGUUUAGAGGGUUAUCGGUGCAUUUCAAUCAGAAAUGUUAGAAAUUGCAAACGUAACUUUUUUCCAAAAAUAAUAUAUCCUGUUGUUGUUGGCAUUUAAUAAA